rnacentral:rRNA from 1 species
CCUACGGGAGGCAGCAGUGAGGAAUAUUGGUCAAUGGGCGGAAGCCUGAACCAGCCAAGUCGCGUGAGGGAAUAAGGCCCUACGGGUCGUAAACCUCUUUUGCCGGGGAGCAAGGGCCGGGACUCGUCCCGGCCCGGAGAGUACCUGGAGAAAAACCAUCGGCGAACUCCGUGCCAGCAGCAGCGGUAAUACGGAGGAUGCGAGCGUUAUCCGGAUUUAUUGGGUGUAAAGGGAGUGUAGAGGGGUAGUCAAGUCAGUUGUGAAAGUUUGCGGCUCAACCGUAGAAUUGCAGUGGAUACUGGCAGUCUGGAGUGCAGUUGAGGUAGGCGGAAUUCGUGGUGUAGCGGUGAAAUGCUUAGAUAUCACGAAGAACCCCGAUUGCGAAGGCAGCUUACUAACCUGUGACUGACGUUGAUGCACGAAAGUGUGGGUAUCAAACAGGAUUAGAUACCCGUGUAGUC